UUGGCGGGGGAAGAUUGUUAUAAAUAUUGAGCAUUGCUUGCCAUCAUCUUCACAACAACAUUCCAUCCUCUUACACUCAAAAACACCAAACCAGAAUACCAAAAAUGGCCGAACGAGUUCUCUUUGAUAUUGCUGGGGAGAUCAUUCAGAAGCUGGGUUCUCGAGCCCUGCAAGAGAUUGGAGUGUGGUGGGGUGUCAAAGAUGAGCUUCAGAAACUCGAAGGCACAGUCUCCAGAAUUCGGGCUGUACUUCUUGAUGCUGAGAAGAAGUCGGCCCUAAACGAACAAGUCAAAGAUUGGCUUGGAAAGCUUCAAGAAAUUGUUUAUGAUGCUGAUGACUUGAUAGAUGACUUUGCCACUGAAGCUUUGCAGCGCCAAGUGAUGACUGGAAAUAGAAUGACAAAGGAGGUAAGCCUUUUCUUUUCUUCUUCGAAUCGGCUUGUUUAUGGUUUUAAGAUGGGUCAUAAAAUUAAGGCGAUUAGGGAGAGACUAGAUGCCAUUGACGAAGAUAGGAAAAAGUAUGGACUUCACCAUGUGGAGCGUCCAGAGGCGUCAUUUUAUAGUAGGAGAAGGGACCAAACUUUCUCAUAUGUAGAUGAGAAACAAGUCAUUGGGAGGGAAAAUGAUAGAAAGGCAAUCAUAGAUCUUUUGUUGGACUCUAAUAUUGCAGAUAAUGUUUCAGUCAUUCCCAUUGUUGGGAUGGGUGGGUUAGGAAAGACCACAUUAGCUCAAUAUGUUUUUGGCGAUGAAAACGUCAAAACUCAUUUUGAGCUGAAGCUGUGGGUUUGUGUCUCUGAAGUCUUUGAUCUAAAAGUAGUAGUAGAAAAGACAUUGAAAUCAAUUGGAAGGGAACCCGGAAACUUUGAAUUGGAUCAAUUGCAAACAAAUCUUCGAGAAGAAAUCAGGGGAAAGAAAUAUUUGUUAGUGUUG
rnacentral:misc_RNA from 1 species